GGCUUCCCUGGGAUGACUCUGCACUGCCCCUCAACAGGGAUGACUCAGCAGAGAUGACAGCACUGUCCCUCAGCAGGGAUGACACAGCAAGGAUGACUCAGCACUGCCCCUCAGCAAGGAUGACGCAGCACUGCCGCUCAACAGGGAUGACUCAGGGAUGGCUCAGCACUGCCCCUCAGCAGGGAUGACUCAGCACUGCCCCUCAACAGGGAUGACUCAGCAGGGAUGACUCAGCACCGCCCCUCAACAGGCAUGACUCUGCAGAGAUGACUUAGCACUGCCCCUCAGCAGGGAUGGCUCAGCAGGGAUGACUCAGCACUGCCCCUCAGCAAGGAUGACGGAGCACUGCCGCUCAACAGGGAUGACUCAGCAGGGAUGACUCAGUACUGCCCCUCAGCAGGGAUGACUCAGCACUGCCCCUCAGCAGGGAUGACUCAGCACAGCCCCUCAACAGGGAUGACUCAGCAGGGAUGACUCAGUACUGCCCCUCAGCAGGGAUGACUCCGCACUGCCCCUCAACAGGGAUGACUCAGCAGGGAUGACUCAGCACCACCCCUCAACAGGCAUGACUCUUCAGAGAUGACUUAGCACUGCCCCUCAGCAAGGAUGACUCAGCAGGGAUGACUCAGCACUGCCCCUCAACAGGGAUGACUCAGCAGACUCAGCGGGGAUGACUCAGCACUGUCCCUCAGCAGGCAUGACUCAGCAGGGAUGACUCAGCACUGCCCCUCAGCAAGGAUGACUCAGCAGGGAUGAUUCAGCAGAGAUAACUCGGGGAUGACUCUGACUGCCCCUCAGCAGGGAUGAGUCUGUUUUGCUCUGAUGGAAGCAUCUGUAGUGUCCAUCAGCAGGUGAAUGGCCAAAGUGGUAUAUACUGUAGUCAAAUUCAGCUAUAAAAAGGAAUAAAGUAUCGAUGCAUGCCACAACAUGGGUGAACCUAGAAAAUACUGUUCUAAAUGCAAGAAGCCAGGCACAAAAGGCCACAUAGUAUAUGUUCCCAUUUAUGUGAAAUGUGCAGAAUAAUAAUAAAAAUGUAUAGAACAGCAAAUCUGUAGGGACAGACAUGAGGUGAGUGGUUGCCAGAAGUGGAAAUGGGAGUUAACUAUAAAUAGCACAGGGUACCUUACAGAGAUGAUGGAAAUGUCCUAAAGCUAGAUUAUGGCAUCAGUUGCACUACGUGAUCAGUUUAUUAAAAAUCGUUGAUGUGUGUGUGUAGAAUGGGU
rnacentral:lncRNA from 1 species